AGUGAACGCUGGCGGUAGGCCUAACACAUGCAAGUCGAACGGCAGCACAGUAAGAGCCUGCUCUUACGGGUGGCGAGUGGCGGACGGGUGAGGAAUACAUCGGAAUCUACUUUUUCGUGGGGGAUAACGUAGGGAAACUUACGCUAAUACCGCAUACGACCUACGGGUGAAAGCAGGGGAUAUUCGGACCUUGCGCGACUGAAUGAGCCGAUGUCGGAUUAGCUAGUUGGCGGGGUAAAGGCCCACCAAGGCGACGAUCCGUAGCUGGUCUGAGAGGAUGAUCAGCCACACUGGAACUGAGACACGGUCCAGACUCCUACGGGAGGCAGCAGUGGGGAAUAUUGGACAAUGGGCGCAAGCCUGAUCCAGCCAUGCCGCGUGAGUGAAGAAGGCCUUCGGGUUGUAAAGCCCUUUUGUUGGGAAAGAAAAGCAGCAGGUUAAUACCCCGCUGUUCUGACGGUACCCAAUGAAUAAGCACCGGCUAACUUCGUG
rnacentral:rRNA from 1 species